rnacentral:rRNA from 1 species
AACGAACGCUGGCGGCAGGCUUAACACAUGCAAGUCGAACGCAUGCCUUCGGGCAUGAGUGGCAGACGGGUGAGUAACGCGUGGGAACCUACCCCUUGGUACGGGAUAGCUCCGGGAAACUGGAGAUAAUACCGUAUGUGUCCUGAGGGACAAAGAUUCAUCGCCAAGGGAUGGGCCCGCGUCGGAUUAGCUAGUUGGUGGGGUAACGGCCUACCAAGGCGACGAUCCGUAGCUGGUCUAAGAGGAUGAUCAGCCACAUUGGGACUGAGACACGGCCCAAACUCCUACGGGAGGCAGCAGUGGGGAAUAUUGGACAAUGGGCGCAAGCCUGAUCCAGCCAUGCUGCGUGAGUGAUGAAGGCCCUAGGGUUGUAAAGCUCUUUCACCGGUGACGAUAAUGACGGUAACCGGAGAAGAAGCCCCGGCUAACUUCGUG